rnacentral:lncRNA from 1 species
GUUGUUUAGAACUGAAAGACUACCAGAUUUCACGUUCUGGAGCUAAGUUUCAUGGAUUCAAAUUCCAACACUGUGGUUGUGACUGGCUUUGGUCCCUUUCGACAACACCUCGUUAACUCUAGCUGGGAAGCAGUGAAGGAGAUGUCCAAGUUAGGCCUUGGUGAAAACAUAGAUCUACACAUCAUGCAACUGCCAGUGGCUUACCGAAAAGCAAAG